UGGGAUUGGAGUAUGCAACAGUCUACUCCAAUCAUAUUGAUAUAGGAGCCGAAGAAGUAGAUACAAUACCCGAAAGUGCAGAAAAUUCAACUCCCGUGGUUGCUGAAAUUUUACCAACUCUUGCUGAAAGUUCACCAACUGCUGAAACUUUACCAACAGCUUUAGGAGAAACUGAUGCAACAACUCAGUCUCUUCGUCGUGCUUGCAAAAAUCCUGCGUGGAUGAUGAACUAUGAGGUAACAUGAAUUAAUGCAAAUAAUGAUGCGGUUAACAAUUUUACAUUAUUUGCAGACUGUGACCCGAUUAUUUUUUAGAGUGUUGUUAGAGAAGAAAAAUGGAGAAAGGCGAUAGAUGAUGAAAUUGAAG
rnacentral:lncRNA from 1 species